UCAACCUUCAAAUAAUCAUCUUUAGUUAUGCACUCUAUACUUGGUCGGGAAUCCUUUUGCAGAAAUGACUGCUUCAAUGCGGCGUGGCAUGGAGGCAAUCAGCUUGUGGCUCUGCUGAGGUGUUAUGGAGGCCCAGGAUGCUUCGAUAGCGGUCUUAAGAUCAUCCAGAAUGUUGGGUCUUGCAUCUCUCAACUUUCUCUUCACAAUAUCCCACAGAUUCUCUAUGGGGUUCAGGUCAGGAGAGUUGGCAGGCCAAUUGAGCACAGUAAUACCAUGGUCAGUGAUGCCAGUGGUUUUGAAU